AGUGAACGCUGGCGGUAGGCCUAACACAUGCAAGUCGAACGGCAGCACAGUAAGAGCUUGCUCUUACGGGUGGCGAGUGGCGGACGGGUGAGGAAUACAUCGGAAUCUACUUUUUCGUGGGGGAUAACGUAGGGAAACUUACGCUAAUACCGCAUACGACCUACGGGUGAAAGCAGGGGAUCUUCGGACCUUGCGCGAUUGAAUGAGCCGAUGUCGGAUUAGCUAGUUGGCGGGGUAAAGGCCCACCAAGGCGACGAUCCGUAGCUGGUCUGAGAGGAUGAUCAGCCACACUGGAACUGAGACACGGUCAAGACUCCUAAGGGAGGCAGCAGUGGGGAAUAUUGGACAAUGGGCGCAAGCCUGAUCCAGCCAUACCGAGUGGGUGAAGAAGGCCUUCGGGUUGUAAAGCCCUUUUGUUGGGAAAGAAAAGCAGCAGGUUAAUACCCCGCUGUUCUGACGGUACCCAAAGAAUAAGCACCGGCUAACUUCGUG
rnacentral:rRNA from 1 species